GGCCCUAUCGUCUAGUGGUCAGGACACCAGCUUUUCAAGCUGAGAACCGGGGUUCGACUCCCCGUAGGGCCGCUA
rnacentral:tRNA from 1 species